rnacentral:rRNA from 1 species
CCUACGGGAGGCAGCAGUAGGGAAUAUUGCUCAAUGGGGGAAACCCUGAAGCAGCGACGCCGCGUGAGGGAAGACGGCCUUCGGGUUGUAAACCUCUGUCGCAGGGGACGAAGGAGAUGACGGUACCCUGUGAGGAAGCCACGGCUAACUACGUGCCAGCAGCCGCGGUAAUACGUAGGUGGCGAGCGUUGUCCGGAAUUACUGGGUGUAAAGGGAGCGUAGGCGGGAUAUUAAGUUGAAUGUAUAAACUACCGGCUUAACCGAUAGAAGCGUUCAAAACUGAUAUUCUUGAGUGAAGUAGAGGCAGGCGGAAUUCCUAGUGUAGCGGUGAAAUGCGUAGAUAUUGCGCAGAACUCCGAUUGCGAAGGCAGCAUACCGGCGGCGAUCUGACGCUGAGGCACGAAAGCGUGGGUAUCGAACAGGAUUAGAUACCCGGGUAGUC